GCACACGUCAGCCCUAUGCUAAGUUCACCAGGUGGCUGUAAUUAUUUCCUUUAACAACUUCCUCAUCAGCCUAUCAAAGAUGUUAAACUUGUGGGCGACAAAAGUCAAGCGGCACAAUCUGCUUUUGAAGUUACUAAAAAGCUUCUUAUUUAAACUGGAUGUUUAGAUCACAGUGUAGUGAUCCUGGCACCUGGUACUUUUCACGGUGUGCUGCAAGUUGGAAUCCCAGGGCCAUCGUGAUAACCAACCAUCAGACCUAAUCUGCCUGUCGACAGACUGAACAUGCUGAUCCCAACCACACACAGGCCAUCUAAUACAUUAGUACCAUCUUUAUUGGUGUGAGAAGAUAAGAUGAGGUGAGGUCAACUCCAGGACGGUCUCUCACUGGCGUCAGGGGACUGAUGGCACCAUAGAUGGUCCUGACCUCAUAUCCUUGGAGGAUACCGUUGGUGCUGAGAUGUUGGAUGGGGUCCCACGACACCUGCAUCUCGAAUGCUGUCAGAGCCGUGGCAUUGAUCCUCAAGGGCGCCAC